rnacentral:rRNA from 1 species
AGAGUUUGAUCAUGGCUCAGGACGAACGCUGGCGGCGUGCCUAAUACAUGCAAGUCGAACGGGGUCCAUCCGGUGGCAACACCGGGGAAGACUAAGUGGCGAACGGGUGCGUAACACGUGAGCAACCUGCCCCGAAGACCGGAAUAACAGCGGGAAACCGCUGCUAAUACCGGAUGCCCCCACGAGCCCGCAUGGGUUUGUGAGGAAAGGAUUACCGCUUCGGGAGGGACUCGCGGCCUAUCAGCUUGUUGGUGGGGUAAUGGCCCACCAAGGCGACGACGGGUAGCUGGUCUGAGAGGACGAUCAGCCACACUGGGACUGAGACACGGCCCAGACUCCUACGGGAGGCAGCAGUAGGGAAUCUUGCGCAAUGGGCGAAAGCCUGACGCAGCAACGCCGCGUGGGGGAUGAAGGCCUUCGGGUUGUAAACUCCUUUCAGUGGAACGAAACUGACGGUACCCACAGAAGAAGCCCCGGCCAACUACGUGCCAGCAGCCGCGGUGAUACGUAGGGGGGCGAGCGUUGUCCGGAUUUAUUGGGCGUAAAGAGCUCGUAGGCGGUUUGGUUUAGUCGGGUUGUGAAACCU